rnacentral:lncRNA from 1 species
CACAUAGUACCAAAAGCAUCUGAUGAUAACACAGUGAACUGACUGAAUCUGAUCAGAAUUAUAGUAUUAUGAUCAAAUGCACUGUGCAUCUGACAAUUACACUACAAACUGCAUUGCAAUGUGAACCAGAAGAGGUAUUAAAUCCAUGAUUUAACUAUCUAUAAUUUAUGCUCAUAAGAUUUAUAUCUUAACUAUUCUUAAAUGAAAAUACCCAUAUUGAUGAGAGUAAAAAGUGUUUCCUAUUUAAGUGUGAAUCAGAGAAGACAGUAAAAUGAAGCAGGAAUUAUUUCAUCUCUUUUCUAACAUGACAUCACCUUGAGAGGUAAGGUCAUGAUUUUCAUGAAGUACCAGAAUGUUUUAUAUGUAGUUUCUCUAGAAAUUGAAAUGUUAAAUCAUGUAUGGGUAAAUUAUUUCUAAUUAAUUCAUUCCAUAGAACAAAUAAAAAACAUCCACAUGUAUCAGCUUGUCUAUCCCUAAAAUAAAACAGAAGGAAAAGUGCAAUUUAGAAAAUUAACAAGUUUAAUAUACAUUAAACAAGGUGAACACAUAUAUAAAGUAAUAUGUAUGUUUCUUUUGUAGAUAAACACAUUACAGUAAACAUAAACACCAGUUUCAAGACGCUGUUUGCAUCUGGGUUGGAGUCUCAUUCUGUCUCCCAGCUUGGAGUGCAAUGGCACGAUAUCAACUCACUGGAACUUCCAUCCCCUGGUUUCAAAUGA